rnacentral:rRNA from 1 species
CUACGGGUUGCAGCAGUGGGGAAUAUUGCACAAUGGAGGAAACUCUGAUGCAGCAACGCCGCGUGGAGGAUGACACUUUUCGGAGCGUAAACUCCUUUUAUAUAGGCAGAAGAUGACGGUACUAUAUGAAUAAGCGCCGGCUAACUCCGUGCCAGCAGCUGCGGUAAUACGGAGGGCGCAAGCGUUACUCGGAAUCACUGGGCGUAAAGAGCGUGUAGGAGGAUUAAAAAGUCAGAAGUGAAAUCCUAUAGCUUAACUAUAGAACUGCUUCUGAAACUCUUAAUCUAGAAUGUGUGAGAGGUAGAUGGAAUUUCUGGUGUAGGGGUAAAAUCCGUAGAGAUCAGAAGGAAUACCGAUUGCGAAGGCGAUCUACUAGAACAUUAUUGACGCUGAGACGCGAAAGCGUGGGGAGCAAACAGGAUUAGAUACCCUUGUAGUC